GACGAACGCUGGCGGCGUGCUUAACACAUGCAAGUCGAACGGAAAGGCCCUGCUUUUGUGGGGUGCUCGAGUGGCGAACGGGUGAGUAACACGUGAGUAACCUGCCCUUGACUUUGGGAUAACUUCAGGAAACUGGGGCUAAUACCGGAUAGGAGCUCCUGCUGCAUGGUGGGGGUUGGAAAGUUUCGGCGGUUGGGGAUGGACUCGCGGCUUAUCAGCUUGUUUGUGGGGUAGUGGCUUACAAAGGGUUUGAAGGGUAGCCGGCCUGGGAGGGUGACCGGCCUCAUUGGGACUAAGAUACGGACCAGACUCCUACGGGAGGCAGCAGUGGGGAAUAUUGCACAAUGGGCGGAAGCCUGAUGCAGCAAUGCCGCGUGCGGGAUGACGGCCUUCGGGGUGUAAACCGCUUUCGCCUGUGACGAAGCGUGAGUGACGGUAAUGGGUAAAGAAGCACCGGCUAACUACGUG
rnacentral:rRNA from 1 species